rnacentral:lncRNA from 1 species
UACCGAGCGUAGGCCGUUCUCGUCUCUUAUCUCCUCGCUUCUAGUAUCCUGCCAGUCACUUUCCCCUCUCAGUUUCAGUCUCUCUUCUCCUCCAUGUGUCGUCUCCUCUUCCUAUGCAGAGCUAGGGUUCGUCGAGUUCGUCCUCUCCUCUUCCUAUCUAGUUCUGCUUUAGUUUCUGAAGAGACUAAGAUCUUGCUGUUAAAAUUUGCAGGAUUUGCAUCUCGACGUUUUUCUUGGUUUAGGAGAUCUCCUUUGGUGCUUCUGCUCUUUUCCAGGUAUAUUUUUUUGUCUUGAAUCUUCUUUCUGAGUAGUUUUUGGUCAGGGUUUCUUGUUUAGCAUGCUAUCUUGUGUAGCAUGCUUUCUCUAUUGAUUCUGUUUUCUUCAGAUCUGUUCCAAUGUCUGCCAGGUUAGGGUUCUUUUGUUGUUGGGGUAGUACAAGUAGAUCUUUAUGGUUCUUGUCUAUCAUGUUUCAGUUAGGGUAUCUGUUUUCUUCAGAUUUGAUCUAAUUUUUGCCUGAUUAGGGUUUCUACAGAUAUGUGUUUAUGGUGGUAGUACGAGUAGUAUGGUUAGGGUUCUUUGUUUAUCAUGCUUAGAUUAGGAUUUUCGUUGUGUUUAUAUUUUGCUCUGACUGUUGGCAUGUUAAGUUUACUUUUGAGAUUUGAUCUGAUUUUUAUUUAGUAAGGUUUUUUUUCAUUAAUCUUAGAUAUGUAUGUCUUGAAAGGUCAAAUCCUUUUUGUUUAUAUUGUUAAUCUAAUGCUAUUCAUAGGUCGUGUCACUAUUGGCCGUAUUUUAUUUCGUGAGUUUUUGCAUGCAGUGUGUGUAUGCUCUAUGUUAUGUCAAAUCCUUAAAGUUUUUUAACUAUCUUUUUGUUCUUAUAUUUUUUAUUAUGCUAAUGUUUUUAUUUUUAGUUCCUGUAUUUGUAAUAUUUCUGUACAUAGCUUUUUUAGUAUACUGGUGCUUGUAGUUUUUGGUCCCUGCACUUAUAAUAUGCUUGUUCCAAGCUGGUAUAGCAUGGCUGUAUUUGUAUUUGUAUUUUUGUAAAGCAAUUUGCUUGUAUUGGAUUUCUGCAAAUUUUAAAGGGCGCAUGUGUAGUUUAGGUAGAUUUAAACUGUCCUGAUAACCUCUAAACAAAAGAAAUAACAUAAUCUUUCAAAAAUGAAUAAAUGCCGGUGAUCUUUUUCCUUUUGAUAUUCUGUGUGCAUAUUUUAAUCUAAGUAGAAUACAGUUAAGUGAUUUGCCUAAUCUUGCAUGAUUACUCUUUGCUUUUGAGCAACUUACGCAAAUUUAGGUCCAUGAUCAUGCAAUAUCUUCAAUUUAUAUUCAUGAAUUUGGUUCGUUGUAUUACUUACAUCUUCACUUCUUUGAAGAUAUCUACCUAGAGUUGGAAUUCAGUUUUUGAGUUUUCUUUUUUUUAUGUCCAAUUUAUCCUAUGCUUUAAUUAGAAUGUAUUUUUUUGGUGUUCUAUAGUUCAUCUAGGUUCUCCGGGUUUUUUAUCCCCUGUUGGGUAAUUAGAUAAUUUUUCCUUUUUAUUUAAGUUUUAUUUUUUAUUUUCUGUAUGUAUGGUUUGCCCGUGCGCCGUGCCUGCCGUUCGAGCCACCUGGAGGAUUUCCUCAAGUGUUUGAUGUUGUCCUUGACAAGGAUUGCUUCAUGCGGAUGGUGAGUUGUAUCAAUCAUUUCUUUAUAGCUAUAUUUUCUUUGUAGACAUCAAUAUAUCCGUAUAUGUUUACUUAGUUCCUGCAUUUCUUUUGUAUAAUCAUGGCUAAUACAGAACUCGUUGAAUUAAGGGUUCGUUCCCCAUUCUUUGACUAGGUUGUCUUUGUUUGUAGUUAUAUUAAUCAUUUAUUUUAUAGAUUGUGUUAAGGGCAAUUUUCUUGUAUUGGAUUUGUGCAAUUUGUAAAAAGGAUUUUUAUAGGUUGUAUUAAGGAUUUAUGUUGUGUUUACAUUAGAAGUUUUCUUUGUCAGAAAAUAAAAAACAUACUUUCUUUAGUUUACUUGUGUACAAGUUUUAUCUGUAUAAAUUAGAGCUACCCAUGUUUCCCUUUUGAAAUACACUGAUGUAAACACAACAUCAUGAAGUUUUAGUUCUGGUAGUUUUUGGUGAAUUAACUUGUUUUAAUCAGCUUGAAACUGUACUGAUUUUUCCAUAGUUCAUCCUAUGAUUUCUUCUUUUUUGGUUAACUACCUUUGUGGAUGUGUAUUUGUAAAAAAUAUGUAUGUGCAAGUUUUAUCUGUAUAUUAAUGUUUUUUUCUAACCAUGAUGUUUUGGCUAGUAUAUCUAGUAUGUCUAGAAAUAUUUAGAGAUAGCAGUACCAUUUGUUAUUUUUUGCAGUUAUUCUUUGUGUGCAAGUUUCAUGUAAGACUAGUAUAAUAUAAUUUUUUUAUUACACUAGCUUGAUAUUGUUCUUAAAUUUUCAUAGUCUACCUAUCUGUUUUUUAUAUGUUAAUUAUGUUUUUGAAUUGAUAACUACAACAUCUAUUUUGUUAACUUAUUAUAAGAGCCUAAGUAUGCAUGUAGUGUACAUUUAUAUCUCCCCAAUGUUUUUGCUGCUACAAGUUUAGUUCUCCCUACUUGCAAAUUUUACGGAGGUGUUGUGCCUUAGCCGUUUUCAAUCAGUUUGUAAUUGAACUAGGGGGGUAGAUGCUACGUUUAACUUUUCUAAUUACGUAGACAUGCUAUUUGUACUAUAUUUUUUUUCAUAUGUUACUCUUAACCAACAAUUGCAAGUUUAGAUUUAUGUAUAUGCAAGUUUAGUUCGUAUGAAGAAAUUUUUUAAUCUCUGAUUUUAGGGUGGUUUUCUGCUCUACUUGUAGUUCGACAACUUGUAUUACAAACAGGCGCAACUUUACUUCUUAUGAUUAAAUUUUCAAUUUCUGUCUUUAGGUGGGUGUUCUGCCUUUCUUGUAGUUCAACAUUUUUUUGUACAAGUACAAACAUGUUAUUUUUUACUGUAGUAUGAAUUUGUAUUGUUCAAUUCUCUGAAUUUCUGACAGCAAAUGUACAUUCAAGUGUUCUCGCUAUUUUUUUCUAUUUCUGGUUACAUCAUUUUUUGCUGGGCACUAAAGAGACAGGAUAUAACUUUUCUAAUUAUGUGUUGUUGUUGAACAACUACAACAAGUUUAGUUCUCCCUACUUGCAAAUUUUACCGAGGUGUUCUGCCUUAGCUGUUUUCAAACAUUUUGUAAUUGAACUAGGGGGUAGAUGUUACGUUUAACUUUUCUAAUUAUGUAGACAUGCUAUUUGCACUUUUUUUUUAUAUGUUGCUCUUGACCAACAAUUGCAAGUUCAAAUUUAUGUAUAUGCAAGUUUAGUUCAUAUGAAGAAAAAAAAUUAAAUUCUGAUUUUAGGGUGGUGUUCUUCUCUACUUAUAGCUCAACAACUUGUAUUACAAACAGGCGCAAUUUUACUUCUUAUGAUUAAACUUUCAAUUUCUGCCUUUAGGUGGGUGUUCUGCCUUUCUUGUAGUUCAACAUCUUUUAGUACAAGUACAAACAUGUUAUUUUUUAGUCAUAAGUUAUAGUAUGAAUUUGUAUUGUUCAAUUGUCUGAAUUUCUAACAGCAAAUGUGUAUUCUGGUGUUGUCACUAUCUUUUUCUAGUUCCAGUUACAUCAUUUUUUGCUGGGCAGUAAAGAGACAGAAUAUAACUUUUCUAAUUAUUUGUUGUUGUUGAACAACUACUACAAGUUUAGUUCUCCCUACAAGAACUUUGGGCAAUCAGAGGAGAAGGACAUAGCAUGGAAGAAAUGUAGAGGAUGGAGAUCUAUCGAGACACCAGAGGGCGGCAGUAUCCGAGUUUUGUUCAUGAGUCCAUGGUGGCGCUGGUGAUGGGGGAAGGAGGGGCAAGGAAGAAGACCUAGUUAUAUGCCCGUGAGCUGGAUCCAGAUCUCUGAAGGUAGUGGGUUUGGUUUCUUAGCAGGGUCAGGCCCGUUUAAUUUUGGGUUGUAUAGAUGGCAAAACAUCAAAAGGGGUUUCAGCGCUGGAUCAGUGAUGUUUUUUUCCUUUUGGGCUGAUUCGACUGACGCUUAGUUCAGGUCAGUCAAUUUUCUUUUGCUUUCCAUCAUUCUGCUCUUCUUUAGGAAUCGACUGACACAAUUGUAGAGUCAGUCGAUUGACUUGUAGCCGCUCCCAUCCAACAUAUAUACUUCACGGCCAAAAAGAAGGCAUGCAGUUAAACUUGAUAUGAAAGUCUUCUUUUCGUUUAAGGUGAAGUAAGACAAAGUUCAUGGGCUUGUAUUACCCUUAUCGGGAUUGUUAAAUCUCAAUCGACUGAGACUAACUAUACCCAUGAGAUCUUGUGGAGAUCCGUGUAAACAAAUUUUAAUUCUUUUUCUUUCUUCUCUAUUAUGUGUUCUGUCACUUGAUUGAGACUUUGUUAAGUCUCAAUCGACUAAGAUCUAGCCACACUCUAUCUUUAUAUCGUAACAAAUUAGUAGUUGAUGGUGAUGGGAUCCGGCACGUGCCCCCUUUCCCUUUGUGAUGUGAUUGCAUGUGAAUGUCAAAAAGGAAUGGAUAUAGUUUUUUCUCGCUUUUGGCAUAGCACGCCGUACUUUGGGAGGCCCACACGACAGACUAUUAGCUGAGUGGUAGAGCGCACCCUUGAUAACCGCGUCAUUGUGCCUGGGUUGUGAGGGAUCUCAGUCAUAUCGAUAGUUCAAUGUGCUCAAAAGUGCCUGGGUUUUUUCUCGCACAUUGGAAUGACAUACUCUUCCAGUUUGAACCAGAGUUGGCAUCUCCAAGGGUGUGGGCCAAAUUCAGUACCUAAUUGUCCACGUCAUACUCUGCUUGUCUGGCGCCCCCUACUUCUCCCUUGCUUGCAUGAUCCUUUUUUUUCAAACAAAAUUUUUCGCUUCAACAUUGAUUUUCCAUAUAAGUAAUUUAAAGAUAAGUAUUAGGAUGCAAAAAUAAUUCAAAGAUUAAUAUCACAAUUCAAACAUAAUUUCCAAACUAUAUAGUUCAAACUUAAAUUUAAUUUAAUUCAUCCCAAUGUAGAACCCUUGAAGUUGAUGACAUGCUCCUCUUCCUUCUCAGUUUCAUCAAGCCCACUCAUCAUCACCACCGGUUCGUCGUCCGGAUCGUUUUUUUGAUGACAAAGAUUCAAUAAGUCACUAUAGAAUUAUCAUCAUCUGAAUCCAUCGUGUUUCCAUGCAAAUGAACAACAAAUUUGUCGAAAAUGACAUAUGCUAUGUUCAGUGAUUUCACCAAACACUUGGUGUCCAAGGUGUUCGGCAUAGACAUCAUUGGUUAAGGGGCGCACCUAAGAAGAGAGGAGGGGGAGUUGGGAGACAGAUUCCUCGUUCAAAGGGAUUGCGAUGGUGGAGGCGAGGUGGGAUGCCUCCGGAUGGACAAUGCUGGUGAUGUGAACUGACGGUGGCCAUGAGAUCGAGGGGACGGAGGUGGGGCGACUAGGGAUUGACUCAACAUGGUGGAGUGGAUGGAAGGGCAAGCAUAGUGACGAGGUGGAGAGGCGGGAGGACCGUAAUAGCCCGGACAACAAUCAUGGGAGCGGUGCCAGGGUAGUAGGGUGUGGGGGAGGAGGAUGUGAGUGGGGAGGAAGGGGUUCGAUUGGGUUCUGGGUAGUGCCGGAUCCAGGAAUUAAAUGAAUGGUGUGCACACUCCAAAAAAAAUUAUCUAAUCGAAGUGGCAUACAAUAUGUGGCAAAAGAAUUGAAAUAUUAGCUAAAUUCAAGUCUCGCAACAUUCUAGUUUAGGAUAUUCCAAAUGUGCUCAACUACAAUACGAAUAUGUUUACAUGAAAGAUACAAAAGAAGAAAAUUACAAUACUAGGAAGACUACGCUUCUGCAUUGCCAUGAAAGCCUCACCUAUGUUAUCUUCACUUACUUCAAAGAACACAUCCGUUCAACAAAUGUCACUAAGCAAUCAUUCAAGAGAUCAUCACUCAUACUAUUUCCCAAUUUACUUUCCACUAGAUUUAUUGCAAAAGAUGCGACAUCAGUGCCAACUUUGAUAAGUGUACCAAGUCGUAAAGAUCAUGAUUAUUUGUUUCAACAAGCAUAAUAGAGAGCUCACUAAUAAUAGUUACAUCUCUAAACAUAUCAUCUCUUGUUUCACAUUGUCACCAAUAAUACUUGUUUCAACAAGCAUAAUAGAGAGCUCACCAAUAAUACAGAGCAUAGAAGUUUCACAUUGUCACCAAUAAUACUUGUUUCAACAAGCAUAAUAGAGAGCUCACCAAUAAUAGAUAGCAUAGAAGUUUCACAUUGUCACCAAUAAUACUUGUUUCAACAAGCAUAAUAGAGAGCUCACCAAUAAUACAGAUCCUUACCAAAUCCGUGCUUGAUAUGUCCAGGGGUAGAAUUCGGCAAGUCUCGUUACCUCGAAUGCAUAAUAAGAAGCAAACUAAUUGAGGGGAUUCAAAGCUGAUAUGGAAAUAAGUAAUGCCAUAUUAACCUCAUCAAACCAAUUGUCAAGCUCGUGAAUGAUUUGAUCAAUCAUACCAAGAUAUAUGAUACGUCUCCAACGUAUCUAUAAUUUUUGAUUGCUCCAUGCUAUAUUAUAUUUUGUUUUGAACAUUAUUGGGCUUUAUUAUCCACUUUUAUAUUAUUUUUGGGACUAACCUAUUAACCCAGAGCCCAGUGCCAGUUCCUGUUUUUUCCCUUGUUUCAGUGUUUCGAAGAAAAGGAAUAUCAAACGGAGUCGAAACGGAAUGAAACCUUCUGGAGAAGUUAUUUUUGGAAGGAAAGCAACCUGAUAGACUUGGAGUGCACGUCGGGAAAGAAACGAGGGAGCCACGAGGUAGGGGGCGCGCCCUCCACCCUCGUGGGCCCCUCGUGGCUCCCCUGACGUACUUCUUCCUCCUAUAUAUACCCAUAUACCCUAAAACGAUCGGUGUUGGAAAUAUGUCCUAGAGGCAAUAAUAAAUUGGUUAUGAUUAUAUUUCCUUGUUCAUGAUAAUCGUUUAUUAUCCAUGCUAGAAUUGUAUUGAUAGGAAACUCAGAUACAUGUGUGGAUACAUAGACAACACCAUGUCCCUAGUAAGCCUCUAGUUGACUAGCUCGUUGAUCAAUAGCUGGUUACGGUUUCCUGACCAUGGACAUUGGAUGUCGUUGACAACGGGAUCACAUCAUUAGGAGAAUGAUGUGAUGGACAAGACCCAAUCCUAAGCCUAGCACAAGAUCGUGUAGUUCAUAUGCUAAAGCUUUUCUAAUGUCAAGUAUCAUUUCCUUAGACCAUGAGAUUGUGCAACUCCCGGAUACCAUAGGAGUGCUUUGGGUGUGCCAAACAUCACAACGUAACUGGGUGGCUAUAAGGUACACUACGGGUAUCUCCGAAAGUGUCUGCUGGGUUGGCACGAAUUGAGACUGGGAUUUGUCACUCCGUGUAACGGAGAGGUAUCUCUGGGCCCACUCGGUAGGACAUCAUCAUAAUGUGCACAAUGUGACCAAGGAGUUGAUCACGGGAUGAUGUGUUACGGAACGAGUAAAGAGACUUGCUGGUAACGAGAUUGAACAAGGUACCGGGAUACCGAUGAUCGAAUCUCGGGCAAGUAUCAUACCGAUAGACAAAGGGAAUUGUAUACGGGAUUGAUUGAAUCCUUGACAUCGUGGUUCAUCCGAUGAGAUCAUCGUGGAGCAUCUGGGAACCAACAUGGGUAUCCAGAUCCCGAUGUUGGUUAUUGACGGAGAGUUGUCUCGGCCAUGUCUGCAUGACUCCCGAACCCGUAGGGUCUACACACUUAAGGUCCGAUGAUGCUAGGGUUAUAGGGAAAGUAUGUACGCAGUUACCGAAUGUUGUUCGGAGUCCUGGAUGAGAUCCCGGACAUCACGAGGAGUUCCGGAGGUAAAGAUUGAUAUAUAGGAAGUAUGGUUUUGGCCACCGGAAGUGUUCCGGGCAUCACCGGUAGUGUACCGGGACCACCGGAGGGGUCCGGGGGUCCACCAGGUGGGGCCACCAGCCCCGGAGGCCUACAUGGGCCAAUAGUGGGAAGGGACCAGCCCCUAGGUGGGCUGGGGCGCCUCCCACCAAGGCCCAAGGCGCCUCCAAGAGGGGAGGGGGCAAACCCUAGGGCAGAUGGGCCCUAAGGCCCACCCCAGGUGUGCCUCCCCCUCUCCCUCUUGUGGCCGCCACCCUAGAUGGGAUCUAGGGCUGCCGCACCCCUUGGGGUGGGAACCCUAGGUGGGGGCGCAGCCCUUCCUCUCCCCCUAUAUAUAGUGGAGGCAAAGGGGCAGCCCUACAUACGAAGUUCUUCCUCUGUUGGCGCAGCCCUACCCCUCUCCCUCCUCGUCUCUCGUAGUGCUUGGCGAAGCCCUGCUGGAGUUCUGCGCUCCUCCACGACCACCACGCCGUCGUGCUGCUGCUGGACGGAGUCUUCCCCAACCUCUCCUUCUCCCCUUGCUGGAUCAGGGCGUAGGAGACGUCACCGGGCUGCACGUGUGUUGAACACGGAGGCGCCGUUGUUCGGUGCUUAGAUCGGAAUCAACCAUGAUCUGAAUCGCUGCGAGUAUGACUCCUUCAUCUGCGUUCUUGCAACGCUUCCGCUUAGCGAUCUACAAGGGUAUGUAGAUGCACUCCCCUUCCCCUCGUUGCUAGAUUACUCCAUAGAUUGAUCUUGGUGAUGCGUAGAAAAUUUUAAAUUUCUGCUAUGAUCCUCAACAAUCGGGGAACAAAAUAGAUCGGGAGUUCAGCCGCCAGAAGCCUCCAUAGCCAUCGAAAACCAAUCUAGACCCGUUCCGGCACCCUGCCGGAGGGGGAAAUCCCUCACCGGUGGCCAUCUUCAUCAUCCCGGCGCUCUCCAUGACGAGGAGGGAGUAGUUCACCCUCGGGGCUGAGGGUAUGUACCAGUAGCUAUGUGUUUGAUCUCUCUCUCUCUCUCUCUCUCUCUCUCUCUCUCGUGUUCUUGAGGUGGUACGAUCUUGAUGUAUCGCGAGCUUUGCUAUUAUAGUUGGAUCUGAUGAUGUUUCUCCCCCUCUACUCUCUUGUAAUGGAUUGAGUUUUCCCUUUGAAGUUAUCUUAUCGGACUGAGUCUUUAAGGAUUUGAGAACACUUGAUGUAUGUCUUGCUUGGGAUACCCGUGGUGACAAUGGGGUAUUCUAUUGAUCCACUUGAUGUAUGUUUUGGUGAUCAACUUGCGGGUUCCGCCCAUGAACCUAUGCAUAGGGGUUGGCACACGUUUUUGUCUUGACUCUCUGGUAGAAACUUUGGGGCACUCUUUGAAGUACUUUGUGUUGGUUGAAUAGAUGAAUCUGAGAUUGUAUGAUGCAUAUCAUAUAAUCAUACCCACGGAUACUUGAGGUGACAUUGGAGUAUCUAGGUGACAUUAGGGUUUUGGUUGAUUUGUGUCUUAAGGUGUUAUUCUAGUACGAACUCUAGGGCUGUUUGUGACACUUAUAGGAAUAGCCCAACGGAUUGAUUUGAAAGAAUAACUUUGAAGUGGUUUCGUACCCUACCAUAAUCUCUUCGUUUGUUCUCCGCUAUUAGUGACUUGGAGUGACUAUUUGUUGCAUGUUGAGGGAUAGUUAUAGGAUGCAAUUAUGUUAAUAUUGUUGAGAGGACUUGCACUAGUGAAAGUAUGAACCCUAGGCCUUGUUUCAACACAUUGCAAUACCGUUUACGCUCACUUUUAUCAUUCGUUACCUUGCUGUUUUUAUAUUUUUCAGAUUACAAAAACUAUUAUCUACCAUCCAUAUACCACUUGUAUCACCAUCUCUUCGCCGAACUAGUGCACCUAUACAAUUUACCAUUGUAUUGGGUGUGUUGGGGACACAAGAGACUCUUUGUUAUUUGGUUGCAGGGUUGCUUGAGAGAGACCAUCUUCAUCCUACGCCUCCUACGGAUUGAUAAACCUUAGGUCAUCCACUUGAGGGAAAUUUGCUACUGUCCUACAAACCUCUUGUAACGCCCUCGAUGCGGCUAUAUCUCCCACGUGUCGAAGCACGACUUAGAGGCAUAACCGCAUUGAAAGCAAUGUCGCAAGUGAGGUAAUCUUCACACAACCCAUGUAAUACAUAAGAGAAAGAGAUACAUAGUUGGCUUACACUCGCCACUUCACACAAUUACAGGAAUAAAGCAUUACAUCAACCAGAUACAAUCAAGGUCCGACUACGGAACCAAAAUAAAAGAAGAACCCCAAAUGCGACAAGGUCCCGAUCGCCCCAACUGGGCACCAGUACUGAUCAACUGGAAACGGAUCAACACAAAGGCCUAGAUCUGUAUCGAGCUCCUCCUUGAGCUUGGUUGCGUCAUCUGCACGGUCUCAUCGGCACCUGCAAGCUGGUUUUGGAAGUAUCUGUGAGCCACGGGGACUCAGCAAUCUCACACCCUCACGAUCAAGACUAUUUAAGCUUAUGGGUAAGGUAAAGGGUAUGAGCUGGAGCUGUAGCAAGCGACUAGCAUAUAUGGUGGCUAACAUACGCAAAUGAGAGCGAGAAGAGAAGGUAAAAGCACGGUCGAACAACUAUGAUCAAGAAGUGAUCCUAGAACAACCUACGUCAAGCAUUACUCCAACAUCGUGUUCACUUCCCGGACUCCGCCGGAAAGAGACCAUCACGGUUACGCACGCGGUUGAUGCAUUUUAAUUAAGGUCAACUUCAGGUUUUCUACAACCGGACGUUAACAAAUUCCCAUCUGCCCAUAACCGCGGGCUCGGCUUUCGAAAGUUCAAAUCCCUGCAGGGGUGUCCCAACUUAGCCCAUCACAAGCUCUCACGGUCAACGAAGGAUAUUCCUUCUAGCGGGAAGACCCGAUCAGACUCGAAAUCCCGGUUACAAGACAUUUCGACAAUGGUAAAACAAGACCAGCAACACCGCCCGAAUGUGCCGACAAAUCCCGAUAGGAGCUACACAUAUCUCAUUCUCAGGGCAGACUCAGAUGAGCACUACGUACAACUAAAAACCAGCCCUCGAGUUUCCCCGAGGUGGCGCUGCAAGUGGCUCUGUUUGGACCAACACUCAGAGGAGCACUGGCCCGGUGGGGUUUAAAUAAAGAUGACCCUCAGGAGCGCGACUCCCAAGGGAAAAAGAGGCUAGGUGGCAAAUGGUAAAACCAAUGUUGGGCAUUGCUGGAGGAGUUUUAUUCAAGGCGAACUGUCAAGGGGUUCCCAUUAUUACCCAACCGCGUAAGGAACGUAAAAUCUGGGAACAUAACACCGAUAUGACGGAAACUAGGGCGGCAGAGUGGAACAAAACACCAGGCAUAAGGCCGAGCCUUCCACCCUUUACCAAGUAUAUAGAUGCAUUAAUUAAAUAAGAUAUAUUGUGAUAUCCCAACAAGUAAACAUGUUCCAACAAGGAACAACUUCUCCAUGUUCCAACAAGGAACAAACUUCAAUCUCCACCUGCAACUAACAUAGCUAUAAGAGGGGCUGAGCAAAGCGGUAACAUAGCCAAACAACGGUUUGCUAGGACAAGGUGGGUUAGAGGCUUGGUUCAACAAUAUGGGUGGCAUGAUUAGCAAGUGGUAGGUAUCGCAGCAUAGGCAUAGCAAAAGAGCGAGCAACUAAGCAAGCAAAGAUAGAAGUGAUUUCAAGGGUAUGGUCAUCUUGCCUGAAAUCUCGCAAGGAAGAAGAACGAGUCCAUGAAGAAGAUAAACGGACGUAGUCGAAUGGAUCCUCACACACACGACGUUAUCGGAACCAACCCGAAGAAGCAACACCGGAAAGAAGCAAACAACAUAGUAAACAACCACCACAUAAACAUGGCAGGAUGCACAACCAAGUAUGAUGCAUGUCCGGUUUAAAUGUUCAUGGCACGACAAAGUGCACAAGCAAUUCUACAUAUUAAGUGGAGCUCAAUAUGCACGAGUUGCAUAUUGACGAAACACCACAUCAAUUAUUUAGUUCUCUCUUGGUUAGGUACUCAACAAUAUUAAAUGUUGUUUAAACAUGGCAAGAGGUGAUACAUAAUAAAACUACCUAACUAGGCAAGUUUAAAUGAGGCCGGAACAACAAAACAACAAGUCCGGAAACUCCUCAUAUGCAUAAAUUAGAUUUGGUACUGUUCUGCCCUAAACAAUAUUUUAGAGUUGUUAAACAUGCAAAGUAAAGCCACCAUGUUAAACUAGGCAAAAUUCUACCCCAUUUACAUAUAAGGUUUAUUAAAAUCCGAGCUACGGUUAUUUAGUUAUGAAUUAAAGCAUUUUAGCAAGUUAUUUAAGCAAAUUUAAACAAACAGCAUUUUAAACAUGUUAAACAUGGACGAAAGUUGGAUAUUAUUAAACUAGAUGAAAUUCUAAGCAAGUUAUAUAUAUAGUUCAUUUUAAUCCGAUGCACCAAUUGUGAGUUAUUAUAUGCAUGUAGUCUAGGGAGUUUUCCACAAAACCGAAGUCUCUGGAAUAAAGGCAAAAACGCAGACCUGAAAAAAAAACAGGAACUGGGCCGAAUCUGGCCGGCCCAACAAGAGAAAAAAAUCAAGAGGAGGGGGCGCUCGGGGGCUGCUCACCCUGGGCCUGGCCAAGUCGGUGGGAGGAGGGAGGCCUGCAGGGGCGAUGCUGGGCCGGGAGGCCUAGCGCUGGGCCUGGGUGCGAUCUGUCGCUGGCGCUCCAAGCGAAUAGGGAGGCGGGUCAACGCAGGGGUGCUCGUCCCCUUCCCUGGUUCGAACGAAGCAGAGGACGCAGGGGAACGGCGGCAAGGCAGCAGCGGAGGGCGGUGUCUAGCGCGAUGUAGGCGAACUUGGCGCAACUCCGGCGAGCUGAGGACUCCGGCGGGACGGCAGGGAUGGAGCGGACGAACGGAUCCAGCCCUAUGGAGCCGAUUUGACCAGAGGCGAGGCGAGGGGUGGAACGAGGCGAAUAUGGGCUUCCGGUCCAGGCAGUCAUGGCGGGGAGGCGCUCCGGCGAGGCAGGGGUCGACUGGAGGUCGGGGAUGGACUAGACCCUCCAUUCCCAGUCAGAUCCAGCGAGGACUUGGGGUCUAGGAGCCAUGGCAUCUUCGGGAGCUCCUGAGGUCAUCCAUGGCAGAGAGGGAGAGAGGUUAGAGAGGAAGAAAAAUAUGGCAGGGAUGAGAGAUAGGAGUACAGAGAGGAUCGGAGGGACCUGGUCGGGGAGGGCCGGUGAGGUCCGGCCUGGCGGUGUCGGUUGGCUCGGUGGGAGGAUCGGGAAGACAUGGGAUGUCCUGAUUGGAGUGACAGGGAAAACGAGGUGGAUCUCGUGGCUGACGGCGGGACAAGACUGAUGGGACAAACUCCUUGAUUUUAGGGUUAGGGGCUAUAUAUAGCAUGUAGGUGAAAGGAGAGGGAUAUGGAUCAUCGGAUCGAAAACCUACGGACGAGAAUAAAUAUGCUAAGGAGUACAAUAAAUAAAACGAUGAUAUUUUGAAGAUGUUUGGGGAUGUUCCGGACCCAACGGUGAGGAAUGUCCGGGUCGGGUUCGGGUAAGUUUCGGACACGCGCGAGGGGUCGAUGCACUGUGCAAAGAGGGGUAAGCUGGCCUGGCGGUUGGCAGUGGACUGAGAGGAGAGAAGAGAAAGCGGCCCGGCAACAGUUUUCGGAGAUCGAAAACGCCCGACGUUAGACCGACUAUAAUGCCGCUAUAGUUAUCUGUUGGGGCGUCAAACAAACUCCGAAUGCGACGAAAAUUGGCAGGCGGCCUACCUACAACAAAACAACACCGCACGCCAACUUUCAUCCCAUUCCGAGAACAUUUUCCGGCCACUUAUAAAAUACUAUUUCGGACAUGCCUCGGGCGCGUGCAAGUGUGUCUGGGCUUAGAACGGACAACGGAAGGAACGAGGAGACCGGGACGGAUGCAAGUUUUGAAAACAUGAUGAUGCAAUGCACAUGAUGACAUGAUAUGAAAUGCAUGACACGCAAGCAAAGACAAGGCAACAACAACGAAUAACUGGAGGACACCUGGCACAACGGUCUCGGGGCGUUACAACACUCCACCACUACAAGAGGAUCUCGUCCUGAGAUCUAGAAUGGCACCGGAAGGAAAAAACGGAAGAGAAAGAGAAGAGGUAAAACUAAGUUGCUCCUUUGACAAAUGAGUGAAACCAAAGAACCUUGCAAAGGUUAAGCCAUUUCGAGAAAAGAAUACAACGGAGAUGACGAAGCUGAAAACACUCUGGUUAAAUGGAUAAGCACGAAAAGAACACGAUCUUUGAUAAAACGGGAUGAUGGGUUGAAAAGAGCAACAUCACAAUGCCUCCGGAUCAAAAGAAUAGAAGAUAGAUAAUUGAAAUAAAAGAAUGGAGAAGAAAAGGACAACUUCUGCCACAAAAGAGCUUGUAAAAAGCAUCCUUAGGCGAAGGGUUGAACGGAGUUGUUGGAAAACCAACAACGAAAAAGAGUAAACUUGUAGUGGGCUUAUGGAGAACAUCUCAAAACUGAGCUGAAAUUCUGCCACUGACGGAAACGAUAGAUUGGAUUGAUAUCGACAAGGAGACGAGAAACUUAUACCACCAGGAGGAUAAAAGAACUUGGGUCAAUUAUAAGCACCAUAAUAGCAACAAUCCUUAGAAAAAGCUUUAGGUGAAAUAUAACCCAAGAUAACUCCAACGAAGAGGUUGAUGGAUUUAAUAUAUCUCAUUCUUAACAACAUGUGAAUCAUGAAACAUGACUCAAAAUAUCAAGAAUGACAUAAUACCACCUCCAAUGAUACGGUAGAAAGGAUUGCACUUCGGGAUGCAAGAAGAAGAAAAACUUGAGCUUCUUAGCAAAGAAUGUCGAUGGACACUUCGAGAAGGAAUUAAAUCCUUGAUGUAUCCAUCAUGUAGAACCUUCAUGAAGAACUCCAGUAAUAAAAGAAUGAUCCAAAAUAAUUGAAUGAUGAAAAGAAUAAUAUUGAAGCCUUGCAAUGAUUUAGAUAGAGAUCUCCGUGAUAAUAUAAUUGAAAGAGGUUGGAACUCCGGGAAAAAGAGAAGAUGGAACAAAUGAAACCGAGAAUUUGAAGGGCCUCCGGAAUAAAGAAUUAAUCAUUCGGAUGAAACAAGAAUAAGAAUUACAUUAUGCUUAUCCUUCACCAAUUAAAUUGAUGACAAGCAACGGAUUUGACAUACUACUUAUUCUCGUAGAAAGGAUUAAGAUAGAUAUAGCGUCAACUUGGAAAGGUCUUCCAUGAACCACCGGUCGGGUUGAAACAACGAAUAAAUUGAUAUGAUGAAUGAAGGAAGACAAAAAUCUUGGAAGAACCACCGUAAGAAUUGAGAAUGAACGGAAAUACAUGAGAGAGUUUAGAUACAAGAGAACAAAGAGAUCAUGAACUGAUUAGAGAAUAUACUUGAAUGAUGCACCGGUUAGGUUUGGAGAAUGAGAGCUGAAAGCUGGAAUGAAUAAUCCUGAAUUGAUGGCCUUCAGAUCAACAAACUGAAAAGACUCCUGAAUUACUCCGGAUGGGUGAAAAGAAUUCUCAUAAUCAAAACAAUUAUUAGGGGAUGGCAACAAGCUAGAAUCAUGAAUCUUGAAGAGAAUGGAGCAGGAUUGAGAGAAAAUCUUCUUCGGUCUUCAAAUUUUGAAUUACAACGAGAAAUACCACCAUGAAUUGUUUAGACACUCCGGAAGAAUAAAAACAAAGAGGUUGAGCCAAUGGUGAAAAGAAUUUGAAAGAUCUUGGAGAAACCCUCUGACUGAUGAAAAUUCAUUCUUGCGUCACACUUCAAAAAGAAAUUUGGAUAGCUCCGGGAAAAUAAGAAGAGUCAGGUAAGAUCCUGGAAAAAGACCUGUGGGUUAGGGCCCACUCAAAAGAAACACCGUUGAACGAUUGCUUGAAAAGAGAGAUUCCACCGGUUGAAUUUAAAUGGCUUGAAUGAGGUAACAUCCUCGAAAGAUCUUGAACGAAUGUAGAGUGGAAACACGAAUCUUCUGAGAUAUCUUCGGCACUCUGAAACAAAUGAAUAGCGAGGAGUAGAUGAUUAAGAGGUGCACCGGUAUGAGAAGGUAUUGAAAUGAGGAAAAGAUAUGAUCAACAAAGCUUGUAUUGGAUCCGCCGGAGAUGGAAAGAAUGAAGAAUGAUGAACUAGUAGAACAUCUUCUUGAGAACCACCGGGUAAGAAUAUUGACGGAAAAGAAUGGAGAGACUUCACAUGAAUAAAAGGAUACUUGAUUAAGAAAUCCGAGUCCUUGAGGAAAAAGGGUGGGUGGGCGGGAAAAACAAAGGCAACUUGGAGACGGAUGAAACAAACACCGUUGAGAAGAACUGAUACUUGAUCUUGCGAAUGUUGAAGUGAUCGGAUCCACUUGAAGAGAAACACGCCAGUGAAAAAGGAUUGACAUGACAAUCUCGAUUAUCAAGAAGGAUUAGUAUUCACAUCGGAGUAUGAGAACACCAUUUGGGGAAGGUAUGGAAUCAACAUUUGACUUCGAAGCAACUCGAAUACCACAACUCAAAACAAAACAAAGGACUGGCUUGCAGAAUAAGCCGGAACAAACAUAUGAUAGAGAUUUCGUCCGAAGUUUUUGUGGUGGGGCCUACACGGGCUCGAUCGUACAUCACCAUCAUGUACAAGGCAGUGCACAUGACAUACGAAGCAUCCCCGAGUCGGCAUAGCCAAGGACUCUUUAAGACACAACGAGACCACUGUAAAACCAACCGUGAAUAGGAGGACCACUAGACGUCGAACCCCAAUUUCGUAUCAUACAUCUGUCGGAAAGAUAUCCUAAGUGCUACUUGAAUUCCCACUUAUAAACUCCCAAAAUUUUCCGGUUAUGCAAUCAGGUGUUGGGGAUAUAGGGGAAGCAUAAUAUCUCACCCAAAACUAACAAAUCCUACAUCCAGCUGUAUCCAUCCUUCAACACAUAACCAAGAAACCUUCGGAAAUCGUCUACCUCAACCUUCGAAAAGUAUCCGUUAUACGAGUUAUGGCAAUACUCCCGAACUCCCGCCCCAGUACUGGGUGGCGUCGAGGUUAUCUCACCAACAACUACAUAAAAGAGAUUUCUGAUGUCGGUGAAACUAAACUCAGGUAUUCCAGAACUACAACGAUAAAAUUGUGACGACAACACCUCGAAGCUCAACUCCCUGGGACACUGCCACAACCCCUAAAUGACAGGAGGCACCAAGAACAAUGUUCUCGUCACAAAUCGAUCGGAACGAUUCCAAGAUACCCGCGUGAUCCUAAAUAAAAUUUUAGUGAAAUUUGAGAAGAGAAGAGUCAAAACUCUACGUCAAGAUGCCUUACCAGAGCGAUGAAGGGACUGGGGAGUAAAAGAAUUCCUAAACUCUCCGAUAUAUAAUUCCUAAAUGACUCAAAACAUUUUUCUAGACUCAACUCGUCCACUAAUUCGAUCAAGCAGUGGGGGCUCCUAAGGUCGGGAAAGGCUCUGAUUACCAACUUGUAACGCCCUCGAUGCGGCUAUAUCUCCCACGUGUCGAAGCACGACUUAGAGGCAUAACCGCAUUGAAAGCAAUGUCGCAAGUGAGGUAAUCUUCACACAACCCAUGUAAUACAUAAGGGAAAGAGAUACAUAGUUGGCUUACACUCGCCGCUUCACACAAUUACAGGAAUAAAGCAUUACAUCAACCAGAUACAAUCAAGGUCCGACUACGGAACCAAAAUAAAAGAAGAACCCCAAAUGCGACAAGGUCCCGAUCGCCCCAACUGGGCACCACUACUGAUCAACUGGAAACGGAUCAACACAAAGGCCAAGAUCUGUAUCGAGCUCCUCCUUGAGCUUGGUUGCGUCAUCUGCACAGUCUCAUCGGCACCUGCAAGCUGGUUUUGGAAGUAUCUGUGAGCCACGUGGACUCAGCAAUCUCGCACCCUCGCGAUCAAGACUAUUUAAGCUUAUGGGUAAGGUAAAGGUAUGAGGUGGAGCUGCAGCAAGCGACUAGCAUAUAUGGUGGCUAACAUACGCAAAUGAGAGCGAGAAGAGAAGGCAAAAGCACGGUCGAACAACUAUGAUCAAGAAGUGAUCCUAGAACAACCUACGUCAAGCAUUACUCCAACACCGUGUUCACUUCCCGGACUCCGCCGGAAAGAGACCAUCACGGUUACGCACACGGUUAAUGCAUUUUAAUUAAGGUCAACUUCAGGUUUUCUACAACCGGACGUUAACAAAUUCCCAUCUGCCCAUAACCGCGGGCACGGCUUUCGAAAGUUCAAAUCCCUGCAGGGGUGUCCCAACUUAGCCCAUCACAAGCUCUCACGGUCAACGAAGGAUAUUCCUUCUAUCGGGAAGACCCGAUCAGACUCAGAAUCCCGGUUACAAGACAUUUCGACAAUGGUAAAACAAGACCAGCAACACCGCCCGAAUGUGCCGACAAAUCCUGAUAGGAGCUGCACAUAUCUCGUUCUCAGGGCACACUCAGAUGAGCACUACGUACAACUAAAAACCAACCCUCGAGUUUCCCCGAGGUGGCGCUACAAGUGGCUCUGUUUGGACCAACACUCAGAGGAGCACUGGCCCGGGGGGGUUUAAAUAAAGAUGACCCUCAGGAGAGCGACUCCCAAGGGAAAAAGAGGCUAGGUGGCAACUGGUAAAACCAAUGUUGGGCAUUGCUGGAGGAGUUUUAUUCAAGGCGAACUAUCAAGGGGUUCCCAUUAUUACCCAACCGCGUAAGGAACGCAAAAUCCGGGAACAUAACACCGAUAUGACGGAAACUAGGGCGGCAAGAGUGGAACAAAACACCAGGCAUAAGGCCGAGCCUUCCACCCUUUACCAAGUAUAUAGAUGCAUUAAUUAAAUAAGAUAUAUUGUGAUAUCCCAACAAGUAAACAUGUUCCAACAAGGAACAACUUCUCCAUGUUCCAACAAGGAACAAACUUCAAUCUCCACCUGCAACUAACAUAGCUAUAAGAAGGGCUGAGCAAAGCGGUAACAUAGCCAAACAACGGUUUGCUAGGACAAGGUGGGUUAGAGGCUUGGUUCAACAAUAUGGGUGCCAUGAUAAGCAAGUGGUAGGUAUCGCAGCAUAGGCAUAGCAAAAGAGCGAGCAACUAAGCAAGCAAAGAUAGAAGUGAUUUCGAGGGUAUGGUCAUCUUGCCUGAAAUCCCGCAAGGAAGAAGAACGAGUCCAUGAAGAAGAUAAACGGACGUAGUCAAACGGAUCCUCACACACACGACGUUAUCGGAACCAACCCGAAGAAGCAACACCGGAAAUAAGCAAACAACAUAGUAAACAACCACCACAUAAACAUGGCAGGAUGCACAACCAAGUAUGAUGCAUGUCCGGUUUAAAUGUUCAUGGCAUGACAAAGUGCACAAGCAAUUCUACAUAUUAAGUGGAGCUCAAUAUGCACGAGUUGCAUAUUGACGAAACACCACAUCAAUUAUUUAGUUCUCUCUUGGUUAGGUACUCAACAAUAUUAAAUGUUGUUUAAACAUGGCAAGAGGUGAUACAUAAUAAAACUACCUAACUAGGCAAGUUUAAAUGAGGCCGGAACAACAAAACAACAAGUCCGGAAACUCCUCAUAUGCAUAAAUUAGAUUUGGUACUGUUCUGCCCUAAACAAUAUUUUAGAGUUGUUAAACAUGCAAAGUAAAGCCACCAUGUUAAACUAGGAAAAAUUCUACCCCAUUUACAUAUAAGGUUUAUUAAAAUCCGAGCUACGGUUAGUUAGUUAUGAAUUAAAGCAUUUUAGCAAGUUAUUUAAGAAAAUUUAAACAAACAGCAUUUUAAACAUGUUAAACAUGGAUGAAAGUUGGAUAUUAUUAAACUAGAUGAAAUUCUAAGCAAGUUUCAUAUAUAAUUCAUUUUAAUCCGAUGCACCAAUUGUGAGUUAUUAUAUGCAUGUAGUCUAGGGGGUUUUCUGCAAAACUGAUGUCUCUGGAAUAAAGGCAAAAACGCAGACCUGAAAAAAAAUCAGGAACUGGGCUGAAUCUGGCGGGCCCAACAAGAGAAAAAAAAUCAAGAGGAGGGGGCGCUCGGGGGCUGCUCACCCUGGGCCUGGCCAAGUCGGUGGGAGGAGGGAGGCCUGCAGGGGCGAUGCUGGGCCGGGAGGCCUAGCGCUGGGCCUGGGUGCGAUCUGUCGCUGGCGCUCCAAGCGAAGAGGGAGGCGGGUCAACGCAGGGGUGCUCGUCCCCUUCCCUGGUUCGAACGAAGCAGAGGACGCGGGGGAACGGCGGGAAGGCAGCAGCGGAGGGCGGUGUCUAGCGCGAUGUAGGCGAACUUGGCGCAACUCCGGCGAGCUGAGGACUCCGGCGGGACGGCAGGGAUGGAGCAGACGAACGGAUCCAGCCCUAUGGAGCCGAUUUGACCAGAGGCGAGGCGAGGGGUGGAACGAGGCGAAGAUGGGCUUCCGGUCCAGGCAGUCAUGGCGGGGAGGCGCUCCGAUGAGGCAGGGGUCGACUGGAGGUCGGGGAUGGACUAGACCCUUCAUUCCCAGUCAGAUCCGGCGAGGACUUGGGGUCCAGGAACCAUGGCAUCUUCGGGAGCUCCUGAGGUCAUCCAUGGCAGAGAGGGAGAGAGGUUAGAGAGGAAGAAAAAUAUGGCAGGGAUGAGAGAUAGGAGUACAGAGAGGAUCGGAGGGACCUGGUCGGGGAGGGCCGGUGAGGUCCGGCCUGGCGGUGUUGGUUGGCUCGGGGAAAACGAGGUGGAUCUCGUGGCUGGCGGCGGGACAAGACUGAUGGGACAAACUCCUUGAUUUUAGGGUUAGGGGCUAUAUAUAGCAUGUAGGUGAAAGGAGAGGGAUAUGGAUCAUCGGAUCGAAAACCUACGGACGAGAAUAAAUAUGCUAAGGAGUACAAUAAAUAAAACGAUGAUAUUUUGAAGAUGUUUGGGGAUGUUUCGGACCCAACGGUGAGGACUGUCCGGGUCGGGUUCGGGUAAGUUUCGGACACGCGCGAGGGGUCGAUGCACUAUGCAAAGAGGGGUAAGCUGGCCUGGCGGUUGGCAGUGGACUGAGAGGAGAGAAGAGAAAGCGGCCCGGCAACAGUUUUCGGAGACCGAAAACGCCCGACGUUAGACCGACUAUAAUGCCGCUAUAGUUAUCCGUUGGGGCGUCAAACGAACUCCAAAUGCGACGAAAAUUGGCAGGCGGCCUACCUACAACAAAACAACACCGCACGCCAACUUUCAUCCCAUUCCGAGAACAUUUUCCGGCCACUUAUAAAAUACUAUUUCAGACAUGCCUCGGGCGCGUGCAAGUGUGUCUGGGCUCAGAACGGACAACGGAAGGAACGAGGAGACCGGGACGGAUGCAAGUUUUGAAAACAUGAUGAUGCAAUGCACAUGAUGACAUGAUAUGAAAUGCAUGACACGCAAGCAAAGACAAGGCAACAACAACGAAUAACUGGAGGACACCUGGCAUAACGGUCUCGGGGCGUUACACCUCUGCACUUGGAGGCCCAACAACGUCUACAAGAAGAAGGUUGUGUAAUAGACAUCAAGCUCUUUUCUGGCGCCGUUGCCGGGGAGGUGAGUGCUUGAAGGUAUAUCUUUAGAUCUUGCAAUCGAAUCUUUUUGUUUCUUGUUUUAGAACUAGUUUAGUUUAUAAAAGAAAACUACAAAAAAUAUGGAAUUGAGUUUGCCUCAUGCGCUUCAUCUUUUUAAUAUCUUUCAUGAGUAUGAUGGAAAGGAAAAUUGUGCCAAAGUGUUAGAAGAAGAAUGCAUUAAAAUGUUUGGCACUAAAUCUUUGAAUGAUGAGCAUGAUUGCAAUGUUGUUAGUAUGAACUCUUUAAAUAUCCAUGGUACUAAUGAUGAUUGCACUAGUUAUGAUGAAAAUGUCUCCUAUAAACAUGUCAAUUUUUGUGGAGUGCAUUGGCUUUGCAAGUACACACCAAAUAGGGAAGAUACCAAGAGGCAUAAGUACUUAGAAACUAAAUUGUUGCAAUUAAGGCUAGAUGAUUGUGUUGAAAAUUUAAAUUUUCUUGGCCAUACUUGUGAGCUUUGCAAUGAACGUGGUCAUUUAACCAUCCGAUGCAAAUUGUUUCAUGAUCUAAUCGUUUCCAAAAAUUGUGAUGAUUUGAUUUCUCUUGCACAUCAUAAUGAACUUAGUUUGCUUAUGGGUUACGAAGAAAUGAAACGUAUAACUAACUAUCUUCCAGAAUUUGCCCGUUAUAAACUUCUUGGUUUUGAUCUAGAGGAAAUUUAUAUGUAUUGUGCGGUGAAUUGCAUUGAAAAUCCUUAUAUUGCCAAUUACGUAAAGAAAAGAAAACAAAUAGAGGAUGAAGAGAAUACUAACAAAAGGGAAGAGACUUCCCAAUACCCUUCUAUUAUUUCUUAUGAUGAAUCAGGUAACGAGGAGGAGCCUCCUAUUCAACCAAUCUCAUUAAUAAGGAGCUCCAAAAAAAGGAUUGAACCCACACAUGAUGUGGUGAAUAAGAAGAAAAGAAAAAGGAAGAGAGGUAAAAAGAUAUCUCUCCCAAAUAAUGCUGCUCAUAUUACUAUUGUGCCUCAUGAAAAUAUAAUUGUGGAAGAUAAUGAUACUUCUUAUGAUCUUGAAAAUCUUUUUGGCACUUUCUUGGAAGAAUAUGAUAAUUGCUAUACUAUUGGUGCUAUCAAUACUAUUAAUGAUGAGAGUGAUUAUGAUUAUGAUAUGAAAAGGCCCAAGCUUGGGGAUGCUAUGUUUGAUGAAGAUGAUAUUUUUAGUCUCCCAAGUUUUGAUGAGAAAAAUUAUUAUGAUGAAAUCAUGCCUCCUAUUUAUGAUGAUUAUAUUGAUGAAAGUGGAUUUGGAGAGGUCAUGACUUUAUUUAGUAAUGAUUCCACUAUUUUGAAAGAGGUUCCAAUUGAUUAUGAGAACAAAGUUGCUAUCUAUGAUGAUUAUUGUGAUGACUUGUAUGCUAUAAAGAAUAAUGAUAUCCAUGAAACUUGUCAUCAUGAUUUUAGUUUUCAAUUGGAUUAUGCCUCACAUGAUAAUUAUUUUGUUAAGUUUGCUCCCACUAUUAUUCAUGAGAAGAAUUUUGCUUGUGUGGAGAGUAAUAAAAUUUCUAUGAUUGUAGAUCAUGAAAAGAAUGCUUUAGGUGCUGGUUAUAUUGUUGAAUUCAUUCAUGAUGCUACUGAAAAUUAUUAUGAGGGAGGAAUAUAUGCUUGUAGGAAUUGCAAUAAUACCAAGUUUCCUCUCUAUGUGCUUAAAGUUUCGAAGUUAUGCUUGUUUUGCCUUCCUAUGCUAGUUGAUUUUUGUUCCCACAAGUUGUUUGCUCACAAAAUCCCUAUGCAUAGGAAGUGGGUUAGACUUAAAUGUACUAGUCAUAUUCUUCAAGAUGCUCUCUUUAUGUUACAAUUCUUAUCCUUUAUGUGAGCAUCAUUGAAAUCAUCAUGCCUAGCUAGGGGUGUUAAACGAUAGCGCUUGUUGGGAGGCAACCCAAUUUUAUUUUUGUUCCUGUUUAGUACUCCCUCUGUAAACUAAUAUAAGAGCAUUUAGAUUACUACUUUAGUGAUCUAAACGCUCUUAUAUUAGUUUACGGAGGGAGUUAUAAAUAAUUUAUCUAGCCUCUGUUAUGAUUGAGUUUUUAUGUUUUAAUUAGUGUGUGUUCCAAGUAGAACCGUUGGGAAGACUUGGGGAAAGUCUUGUUGAUCUUGCUGUAAAAAACAGAAACUUUAGCGCUCACGAGAAUUGCUGCCAUUUUUUAUUGGAGAGUGAUAUUUAGUUAAUUAUUUUUGAAGAUGAUUAAUAGAUAAAUUCCUCACGUCCAGCAAUUUAUUUUAGAAUUUUUGAGGUUCCAGAAGUUUGCGUUAGUUACAGAUUACUACAGAAUGUUCUGUUUUUGACAGAUUCUAUUUUUCAUGUGUUGUUUACUUAUUUUGAUGAAUAUAUGGCUAGUAAAAGAGUUUAUAAACCAUAGAUAAGUUGGAAUACAGUAGGUUUAACACCAAUAUAAAUAAAUAAUGAGUUCAUUACAGUACCUUGAAGUGGUGUUUUGUUUUCUUUCGCUAACGGAGCUUACGAGUUUUCUGUUAAGUUUUGUGUUGUGAAGUUUUCAAGUUUUGGAUAAAGAUUCGAUGGACUAUGGAAUAAGGAGUGGCAAGAGCCUAAGAUUGGGGAUGCCCAAGGCACCCCAAGGUAAUAUUCAAGGACAACCAAAAGCCUAAGCUUGGGGAUGCCCCGGAAGGCAUCCCCUCUUUCGUCUUCGUUCAUCGAUAACUUUACUUUGAGCUAUAUUUUUAUUCGCCACAUGAUAUGUGUUUUGCUUGGAGCGUCAUUUUAUUUUAUUUAGUUUUGCUUGCUGUUUGAAUAAAAUACCAAGAUCUGAAAUUCUUAAAUUUUAGAGAGUCUUCAUAUAGUUGCAUGAUUAUUCGACUACUCAUUGAUCUUCACUUAUAUCUUUCGGAGUAGUUUGUCGUUUGCUCUAGUGCUUCACUUAUAUCUUUUUAGAACACAGUGGUGGUUUUAUUUUGAAGAAUUAGAUGAACUCUCGUGCUUCACUUAUAUUAUUUUGAGAGUCUUUAGAACAUCAUGGUAGUUUGCUUUGGUUAUGAAACUAGUCCUAAUAUGAUGGGCAUCCAAGAGGGAUAUAAUAAAAACUUUCAUAUAGAGUGCAUUGAAUACUAUGAGAAGUUUGAUACUAGAUGAUUGUUUUGAGAUAUGAGGAUGGUAAUAUUAGAGUCAUGCUAGUUGAGUAGUUGUGAAUUUGAGAAAUACUUGUGUUGAAGUUUGUGAUUCUCGUAGCAUGCACGUAUGGUGAACCGUUAUGUGAUGAAGUCAGAGCAUGAUUUAUUUAUUGAUUGUCUUCCUUAUGAGUGGCGGUCGGGGACGAGCGAUGGUCUUUUCCUACCAAUCUAUCCCCCUAGGAGCAUGCGCGUAGUACUUUGUUUCGAUAACUAAUAAAUUUUUGCAAUAAGUAUGUGAGUGCUUUAUGACUAAUGUUGAGUCCAUGUAUUAUACGCACUCUCACCCUUCCACCAUUGCUAGCCUCUCUAGUACCGCACAACUUUCGCCGGUACCAUAAACCCACCAUAUAUCUUCCUCAAAACAGCCACCAUACCUACCUAUUAUGGUAUUUCCAUAGCCAUUCCGAGAUAUAUUGCCAUGCAACUUUCCACCGUUCCGUUUAUUAUGACACGCUCCAUCAUUGUCAUAUUGCUUUGCAUGAUCAUGUAGUUGACAUGGUAUUUGUGGCAAAGGCACCGUUCAUAAUUCUUUCAUACAUGUCACUCAUGAGUCAUUGCACAUCCUGGUACACCGCCGGAGGCAUUCAUAUAGAGUCAUAUCUUGUCCUAAGUAUCGAGUUGUAAUUCUUGAGUUGUAAGAAAAUAAAAGUGUGAUGAUCAUCAUUAUUAGAGCAUUGUCCCAGUGAGGAAAGGAUGAUGGAGACUAUGAUUCCCCCACAAGUCGGGAUGAGACUUCGGACGAAAAAAAAGAGGCCAAAGAAGCCCAAAUAAAAAAAGAGGCCAUAAAAAAAAGAAGGCCCCAAUAAAAAAAUAAAAAAAUAAAAAAAUGAAUGAGAGAAAGAGAGAGAAGGGGCAAUGCUACUAUCCUUUUACCACACUUGUGCUUCAAAGUAGCACCAUGAUCUUCAUGAUAGAGAGUCUCCUAUGUUGUCACUUUCACAUACUAUUGGGAAUCUUUCAUUAUAGAACUUGGCUUGUAUAUUCCAACGAUGGGCUUCCUCAAAAUGCCCUAGGUCUUCGUGAGCAAGCGAGUUGAAUGCACACCCACUAGUUUCUUUUGUUGAGCUUUCAUACAUUUAUAGCUCUAGUGCAUCUGUUGCAUGGCAAUCCCUACUCACUCACAUUGAUAUCUAUUGAUGGGCAUCUCCAUAGCCUGUUGAUACGCCUAGUUGAUGUGAGACUAUAUUCUCCUUUUUGUCUUCACCACAACCACCAUUCUAUUCCACCUAUAGUGCUAUGUCCAUGGCUCAUGCUCAUGUAUUGCGUGAAGAUUGAAAAAGUUUGAGAACAUCAAAAGUAUGAAACAAUUGCUUGGCUUGUCAUCGGGGUUGUGCAUGAUUUAAAUAUUUUGUGUGGUGAAGAUAGAGCAUAGCCAGACUAUAUGAUUUUGUAGGGAUGGCUUUCUUUGGCCAGGUUAUUUUGAGAAGACAUGAUUGCCUUGUUAGUAUGCUUGAAGUAUUAUUAUUUUUAUGUCAAUAUGAACUUUUAUCUUGAAUCUUUUGGAUCUGAAUAUUCAUACCACAAUUAAGAAGAAUUACAUUGAAAUUAUGCCAAGUAGCACUCCACAUCAAAAAUUAUCUUUUUUAUCAUUUACCUACUCGAGGACGAGCAGGAAUUAAGCUUGGGGAUGCUGAUACGUCUACAACGUAUCUAUAAUUUUUGAUUGCUCCAUGCUAUAUUAUCUUCUGUUUUGGACAUUAUUGGGAUUUAUUAUCCACUUUUAUAUUAUUUUUGGGACUAACCUAUUGACCCAGAGCCCAGUGCCAGUUCCUGUUUUUUCCCUUGUUUCAGUGUUUCGAAGAAAAGGAAUAUCAAAGGGAGUCGAAACGGAAUGAAACCUUCUGGAGAAGUUAUUUUUGGAAGGAAAGCAACCUGAUAGACUUGGAGUGCAUGUCGGGAAAGAAACGAGGGAGCCACGAGGUAGGGGGCGCGCCCACCCCCCCAGGGCGCGCCCUCCACCCUCGUGGGCCCCUCGUGGCUCCCUUGACGUACUUCUUCCUCCUAUAUAUACCCAUAUACCCUAAAACGAUCGGGGAACAGAAUAGAUCGGGAGUUUUGCCGCCAGAAGCCUCCGUAGCCACCGAAAACCAAUCUAGACCCGUUCCGGCACCCUGCCGGAGGGGGAAAUCCCUCACCGGUGGCCAUCUUCAUCAUCCCGGCGCUCUCCAUGACGAGGAGGGAGUAGUUCACCCUCGGGGCUGAGGGUAUGUACCAGUAGCUAUGUGUUUGAUCUCUCUCUCUUGUGUUCUUGAGGUGGUACGAUCUUGAUGUAUCGCGAGCUUUGCUAUUAUAGUUGGAUCUUAUGAUGUUUCUCCCCCUCUACUCUCUUGUAAUGGAUUGAGUUUUCCCUUUGAAGUUAUCUUAUUGGACUGAGUCUUUAAGGAUUUGAGAACACUUGAUGUAUGUCUUGCUUGGGAUACCCGUGGUGACAAUGGGGUAUUCUAUUGAUCCACUUGAUGUAUGUUUUGGUGAUCAACUUGCGGGUUCCGCCCAUGAACCUAUGCAUAGGGGUUGGCACACGUUUUUGUCUUGACUCUCUGGUAGAAACUUUGGGGCACUCUUUGAAGUACUUUGUGUUGGUUGAAUAGAUGAAUCUGAGAUUGUAUGAUGCAUAUCAUAUAAUCAUACCCACAGAUACUUGAGGUGACAUUGGAGUAUCUAGGUGACAUUAGGGUUUUGGUUGAUUUGUGUCUUAAGGUGUUAUUCUAGUACGAACUCUAGGGCUGUUUGUGACACUUAUAGGAAUAGCCCAACGGAUUGAUUUGAAAGAAUAACUUUGAGGUGGUUUCGUACCCUACCAUGAUCUCUUCGUUUGUUCUCUGCUAUUAGUGACUUGGAGUGACUAUUUGUUGCAUGUUGAGGGAUAGUUAUAGGAUGCAAUUAUGUUAAUAUUGUUGAGAGGACUUGCACUAGUGUUAGUAUGAACCCUAGGCCUUGUUUCAACACAUUGCAAUACCGUUUACGCUCACUUUUAUCAUUCGUUACCUUGCUGUUUUUAUAUUUUUCAGAUUACAAAAACUAUUAUCUACCAUCCAUAUACCACUUGUAUCACCAUCUCUUCGCCGAACUAGUGCACCUAUACAAUUUACCAUUGUAUUGGGUGUGUUGGGGACACAAGAGACUCUUUGUUAUUUGGUUGCAGGGUUGCUUGAGAGAGACCAUCUUCAUCCUACGCCUCCUACGGAUUGAUAAACCUUAGGUCAUCCACUUGAGGGAAAUUUGCUACUGUCCUACAAACCUCUGCACUUGGAGGCCCAACAACGUCUACAAGAAGAAGGUUGUGUAGUAGACAUCAAUAUACUUCUAUUUUGUAACAAUCAUCAUUUGUACUUGAUAAUACUGAUGUGAUCUUCCAUGGGGCACAUAAUAAUAUCCAACGCAGGAACUUCGAUGUCAUGUUUGUUGCAAAAUAAUGCCACCUGUGCAAAAAAUUCUUCACGUCCAUGAGACCUAGUAUGUUGCAUUCUACUCUUUGCCAAACUAACAAGUGACAUUGCAUUAUCUUGAUCUCUCUUUUGUGAAGAUUUGGACACCGGCGUGUCAUUUGUGUAGCCAAGAAUAACUAACAUCAAGUGAAGAUUGAAAACAAAGUCAAAUGAUUCAAAAACAAGAGCAACUACAUGUAUUCCUGUCAACUUACCUUUUGUGGAGGAUCUUUUCCAAUAACAUCAAGUACUUUGAGGAUUGUGGGAUGCACGCUAACAAUGUGCACAAUGGUUCUAAAAUGGGAUCCCCAUCAAGUAUCACUGGGUCUUGCUAGUCCCAUCUCUUGACUCAACAUACUUCCACUCUCAGUCUCACCCAUUUCAAGUGUUUCCAAAACCUUUCGAGCUCUAACAUAUCAAAGCAUGUCAUGCCGCUUACAAGAAACUCCAAAAGUAUUGAGCAAGUUGCAAAAAUGAUCAAAAACAUCACCCACAUGGUUCAUUUAACUUUGCCACAGCAAUAAGAACUAACUGGAGUUGGCAAAGCAAUGGAUGUAAUUAGUAGACGGUGACUCUUUCAUGAUCAAUGUUUUCAACUCUUUAAUCUCCCCUUUCAUGUUUCUAGCCCCACCAUAUCCUUCCCCAUGUAUUUGACUAGGAGUCAAAUGAUGAUCUUUAAACAAAGUUUCAAUUGCAUCCUUAUGUGACGAUUUUUAUCUUUAUUUUUCUGUAAAGAUAUGUUUGUAAGAACAUAUAAUGCUUACUAUAUGGCCUUAGAUUUUUUUGAAAGAAAAAAGUUACUAAGUACAAGUUUCAUAUCAGCCUUGUGUUGUCAUCAAACUAUUAUUACCUACUAACCAAUACCCAACACGUGAAGCGGAAGAAGAAUCAAAGACCCUUAUAUUUUCAAAAUAAACAUCAUUCCUAAAUCUUCAUAUACUCCAAAUACAACAGCAAUACCAACUGUGACAAACAAUUAAUCUUGCAUAUAUCGGAUAUCGCAUGGAGAUUCGGUGACUACGGUGGCGGCCAUUGUCGUCUUUUCUGUAGAGAAUAUGGAGUAGCGAGCAUCUUGAGAUCCAAAAGAGCAUCCGCAAGGAAAUGCCAACUUCAAAUCCUUUUAUCUCUCGGCUGCUUGCCCGGAUAAAGACAAAAACUUCUACAUGGUUAUGCAUGAACACAUCGAGUGUAGAAAUAAGAAAGGAAAGAAUAGAUGAUCCUCAUUGGCGACACAAUACCAUGCCCUCUUGUAGAAGAGGUUGUCCGCCUUGUGUCCUUGCAAGGAACCCCAACAGUGGAACUGCGUCCAAGUCAACACCACCUCGAGCAGCAAUGGCUUCGAAAAGAUCAUCGUUGUCAUGUCAAUGUCGCUGCCCCCUCACGUCAAAAAAAUGUCGCUGCCCUCGCCAAGGGCAAAGACAUUGAGGACAUCAGCAUUUUCUUUCCAAAGUCGUUUCCCCUAGAGACGAGAUCGAGUUUGGUGUCGGCGAUUGACGAGGGAGACAACAGUGAGAACAACCAUGGAAGGUGCAUGCCUCAAGUGCUGGCAGCUAAGUCACCGACCAAUGAAUUGUCAAAUUACAUAUUUGCAUAGUAGGCAGGCCGAGUAUAAUUUCAUGGAUACUCGGCAUGCACAACGUAAGUCGAGUAUCGGGUAGAAAGAGCGUUGCUACACGUAUGUGCGGCUACGUGAUGUGGGAGGUUACGUAAUGACCUGGGAAUGUUUAAUUGGGCAUUAUUGGGUGAUGUCUACUACGCAACCUUAUUCUUGUAGACACGUGUUGGGCCUCUAAGCGCAGAGUUUUGUAGGACAGUAGCAAUUUUCCCUCAACUGAAUGACCUAAGGUUUAUCAAUCUAUGGGAGGCAUAGGAUGAAGAUGGUAUCUCUCAAACAACCCUGCAAUCAAAUACAAGAAAUCUCUUGUGUUCCCAACACACCCAAUACAAUGGCAAAUUGUAUAGGUGCACUAGUUCGGCGGAGAGAUGGUGACAAAAGUGUAAUUUGGAUGGUAGAAAUAUAUUUUUAUAAUCUGAAUAAAUAAAAACAGCAAGGUAGCAAAUAGUAAACGGGCACAAGAACGAUAUUGCAAUGCUUGAAAAUGAGGCCUAGGGUACAUACUUUCGCUAGUGCAAUCUCUCAACAAUGCUAAUAUAAUUGGAUCAUAUAACCGUCCCUCAACGUGCAACGAAGAAUCACUCCAAAGUUCCUAUCUAGCGGAGAACAUAAGACGGAAUUGUUUGUAGGGUACGAAACCACCUCAAAGCUAUUCUUUCCGAUCAGUCUAUCCUAGAGUUCGUACUAAAAUAACACGAAGCUAUUCUUUCCGAUCGAUCUAACCAAGAGUUCGUACUAAAAUAACACCAAAGAAAAUUCAGAUUCAUAAUAUUCAAUCCAACACAAAGAACUUCAAAGAGUGCCCCAAGAUUUCUACCGGAGAAACAAAGACAAGAACGUGCAUCAACCCCUAUGCAUAGAUUACCCCAAUGUCACCUCGGGAAUCCGCGAGUUGAGUGCCAAAACAUAUAUCAAGUGAAUCAAUAUGAUACCCCAUUGUCACCACGAGUAUUCAAUUGCAAGACAUAUAUCAAGUGUUCUCAAAUCCAUAAAAGUAUUCAAUCCGAUAACAAUGAAAUCUCAAAGGGAAAAACUCAAUUCAGCACAACAAGAUAGAGAGGGGAAAACACCAUAUGAUCCGACUAUAUUAACAAAGCCCGCGAUACAUCAAGAUCAUGACAUCUCAAGAACACGAGAUAUAUAUAUAUAUAUAAAGAGAGAGAGAUUAAACACAUAGCUACUGGUACAAAUCCUCAGCCCCGAGGGUGGACUACUCCCUCCUCAUCGUGGUGGCCGCCGGGAUGAUGAAGAUGGCCACCGGAGAUGAUUCCCCCCUCCGACAGGGUGCCGGAAAGGUUCUAGAUUGGUUUUCGAUGGCUACACAGGCCUGCGGCGGCGGAACUUCUGAUCUAGGGUUACCCCUGAUGGUUUAUCUAUUUAUAGGAUUUUUUGGCGUUGGUUUCACACUAAGAUGGGCCUCGAUGUGAGCACAACCCACCGGGGCAAGCCAGGCCCACCAGGCGCGCCCUGGUGGGUUGUGCCCUCCUUGUGGCUCUUCUAGCCCUCCCACGAAGCUUCGGGGUCUCUUUUGUUCCAAAAAAAUCAUCAAAAUUUUUAGCUCAUUUGGAGAACUUUCAUUUCUGCACAAAAAACAACAGCAUGGUAGUUCUGCUGAAAACAGCGUCAGUCCAGGUGAAUUCCAUGCAAAUCAUACCAAAACCAUAUAAAUUGUUGUAAACAUGGCAUGGAUACUUCAUAAAUUAUAGAUACGUUGGAGACGUAUAAGCAUCCCCAAGCUUAAUUCCUACUCGUACCCGAGUAGGUAAAUGAUAAAAUAAAUAAUUUAUGAAGUGUGAAUGCUAGGAAAGUGCAUAAGUUUGAUCAAUGAUAAUUUCAAUCACUUUUCCUAGCAUCAUAAUAGCAACCCUUUCUCAUAAAACUUAUCAUGAUAAAGUAGCAAUUGAAAAUGGAAUUUUUGUUGUGGAAUGCUACCUAUCAUAUUCAUCAUGAACUCUUUUCUUUUGUAGCAUGGACAUUUGGACUUCUAUAUGGUUCAAAGCAAUAGUCUAGUUUUGACAUGAUGACUUUAAUACUCAAGCAUACCAACAAGCAACCAUGUCUUUCAAAAUAUCAACACUAAAAUAAGUUAUCCCUAGCCCAUCAUGCUCAAUCAUUGAUCCAUUCAUGAAACACACUCGCGUAUUAGCUACACCCAAUGCUUAAGUACGAUCAUAGUGCCCCCUAGUUGGUGCUUUAUAAGAGAAGAUGGAGACUCGAAUUAAAAAUAAAAAUUGCAUAAAGUAAAAUAAAGGCCAUUUGCAUAGGGAAGUAUGGAUUUGUAGAGGUGCCAGAGCUCAAAGCGAAAAUCGAGAGAUAAAAAAUAUUUUUGAGAGGCAUACUUUUCCCACCAACGAAAAUGACUUAGAGCUCCCAACACUUUCCAUGCUAGAUAUAUCAUAGGUGGUUCCCAAACAGAAAAUAAAGUUUAUUCCUUUUUCAACCAUACUUUCACUUCCCAUGGCUAACUGUAUCAACGCGUGCCCUCCAUACCAACACUUUCCAAGGAAUUUAUUAUUUGACAACAUAAAGUAAAUUCAUUUUUAUUUCGGGACUAGGCAUCCCUAAUACUUUGCCUUACUCUCGUGCAAUGACAAGUGAAUAAACACUCAUCGUGAGAAUAACACAUCUAGCAUGGAAAAUAUUGGCCACCCCUCACCGCCUCGCGAGCGGUACGAGCACACAAAAGAGAAAUUUAUUUUGAAAAUUAGAGAUGGCACAUACAAAUUUGCUUAGAACGACAAAAGAAUACCGCAUAUAGGUAGGUAUAGUGGACUCAUGUGGCAAAACUGGUUUAAGGGAUUUUGGAUGCACAAGUAGUGAUCAUACUUAGUGCAAAAUGAAGGCUAGCGAAAGAUUGGGAAGCGACCAACCAAGAAACGAAUAAUCUCAUAAGCGAGCAUUAAGCAUAAUUAACACCGAAUAAUGCACCACAAGUAGGAUGUAAUUUCAUUGCAUAACUAUUGACUUUCGUGCUUGCAUAGGUAAUCACAAACCUUAACCCCAAUAUUCUUACUAAAGCAUAAUUACUCAUCAACAUGACUCACAUAUCACAUCAUCAUAUCUCAAAACGAUUACAAGGAAUCAAGUUUGUUUUGUCCAAUGAUCUUCAUGAAAGUUUUUAUUAUAUCCCUCUUGGAUAUCUAUCACUUUGGGACUAAUUUUCAUGUGUUGCUUUUGAUAAGCUCAAACAAAUAUAAGUGAAGAUCAUGAGCAUAAUAUUUCUUUCACUCAAAUUAAUUUAAGUGAAUCAAGAGAGAAUUUCUUCAAAAAUACUAAAGCACACCGUGCUCAAAAUGAUAUAAGUGAAGCACUAGAUCAAUCCCAUAGAAAAGAGCUUCGUUGACGGGAUGUGGAUGCCGCUUACCUAGCCUCCCUGACAACUAUUUGAGGACUCUAUUUUAUUUAAAAACUUUCAGAUAUAAGUAUUUUAUUAAAGAAGCAAGCUAAAUGAAAAUAAAAUGACAUUCUAAGAAUAGCACAACUCAUGUGAAGAAGCAAAAAAAAAC